CGUGGCCUCGGCCGGGCUCAGCGCUGCCCCCGGCGGCACCACCGGGCACCGCAGCCUCCGUCCCCGCCACCGCCCGCCCGCCGCAGGCCGCCAUGGCCGCGCUGCACGCCAAGGCCGGCGGCCCCCCGCAGAUCCCCGACACCCGGCGGGAGCUGGCCGAGCUGGUGAAACGCAAGCAGGAGCUGGCGGAGACGCUGGCCAACCUGGAGCGGCAGAUCUACGCCUUCGAGGGCAGCUACCUGGAGGACACGCAGAUGUACGGCAACAUCAUCCGCGGCUGGGACCGCUACCUCACCAACCAGAAGAACUCCAACAGCAAAAACGACCGGAGGAACCGCAAGUUCAAGGAGGCCGAGAGGCUCUUCAGCAAGUCCUCGGUCACCUCGGCGGCGGCGGUCAGUGCAUUAGCUGGAGUUCAAGACCAGCUCAUUGAGAAGCGGGAGCCAGGCAGUGGGACAGAGAGUGACACUUCGCCAGACUUUCACAAUCAGGAGAAUGAGCCCAACCAGGAAGAUGCUGAAGAGCUGGAUGGAUCCGUGCAGGGGGUGAAACCCCAGAAAGCUGCUUCCUCCACUUCUGGGAGCCACCAUAGCAGCCACAAAAAACGGAAGAACAAAAAUCGACACAGCCCGUCUGGCAUGUUUGAUUAUGACUUUGAGUAAGUUUGACUUGAAUUAGUACUUGUGCUGUGUUGUUAGUGUGUAGACACCAAUGUGCCUUUUGAGACCUUUCUAACCCAUAGUUUAUCUGUUUAAUUGUAGGUAUGUAUAUUAGGUUAGGCUGGGAAGUUUUUUUUAAAAACAGAAAAGCGUGAUGGAGGAUUGAUCUCAAGUUAAACAAAAAGCCAAGAGCCGACUACUAGACUCAUCAGUGAUGAAGCUUCUGGGAUUUAGGUCUACAUGAAUCCCCACCAAGAAAAAUGCCAGUCGACUGAAUGAGCACGAAGGCAGCUCUCUGGCCAAGUGUAUGCAGAAGGGAGUGGUUCACUCUAAAGGACUCAGAUUGGGGGAGAAAGUCUUGGACCAUGUACUUUGCAUCAUUUUUAAAUCACCUGACUUACAGGAAGACUAAGGUGUAGUAGUAGUAGUCUUGAAUUCCUGACUAUUCCGUGCUUCCAGCUCAGUUGGGAACUUCACAAUUGGCUGAUCUUGCUGCUGCCACCCCUGUCAUCCGUAAAACCAUGGAGAGGCAUUUUCUUUUCUGCUGGAACUGGGGUAUGAUUCAGUUUGUCCCAUCCAUGUUGUAAGACUUAGCUUACUUUUGUUACUGAUACUUAGCUUCAUUUGUUUUUUGUUGUUGUUGUUUAUGUUUUGUUUUUUUUUUGGUUGUAGGUGUUUUGUUUUUUUUUUGUUUGUUUUUGUUUUGUUUUCAACCAAAGUGUGUAGUUAAUAAACUGGCUUUUGGUUUGUUUGUUUUAAUCCAUGUAGAGAGGAAGGUACUUCAUUUUGUGGAACAUCUCAGAUUCUUAUGCAAGCAGAGAACAAGGUGGCUAACCAUUUUCUCUAACUUUUAUUUUGAACACCAUCCCCUAAAACUUACACACUGCUUUUAGAUGCAGGGAAGGCAGGAGCUCAAAGCCAACUUGCUCUUUGCUAUCUUUGAGGUUGGGUGGAUUCUCUUUUUAAUACAAACUUCUGUCAUUUGUACAUAAACAAUAAAAGUUACAUUUGUCUCUCUUCUCA